GCCAACUGAGCCACCCAGAUGCCUCUAUAUACAUAUAUCUCAAGAAAAUAAUAUCAAAGAGACUGCACUGACUUAGUACUGCACUACCGGAACUACCGUUACUUACAUCUAAAGAAUUCACCCAUUAAAAAUAUAUCAGUAUCUAUUGUCAUUGUGUACUAAGUUUUGGAGGUCUGAUCACUGCAUGUGAGUGGAAAAGGAAGAUCUUUAAGGAAGACCUGUGCCAAGAAUUCUGAUGCCGUGUAAUGCCAGAGCACUCGGAUGUAGAGUCCUGAAGCGUUGCAGGAUGCAUGUGAAAAGAUGCAGUGAAUCUGGGGAACUGUGACUGCUGGUGAGAGACAUGUGAGGGUC